CUUGUACUCCCUCCGUCCGAAAAUACUUGUCAUUGAAAUGGAUGUAUCUAGAUGUAUUUUAGUUCUAGACACAUCCAUUUUGAUGACAAGUAAUCCCGGACGGAGGGAGUACUAG
rnacentral:pre_miRNA from 1 species